rnacentral:rRNA from 1 species
GCUUAGGUUUCUCGUCUUAGGAUCAUCUGGGGUCAUUCGUACUCGUCCGCGAGAGGUGAAAUUCUUGGACCGGACGAAGACGAUCAGCAGCGAAAGCAUCUGUCAGGGAUGUUUUCUGCGACAAAGGACGAAGGUCAGGGUAUCGAAGACGAUUAGAUACCGUCGUAGUCCUGACUGUAAACUAUGCCGACUUGGGUCUUGCAGAGUAAAUACUUUGUGAGACCCACACAGAAAUGAAAGUGUAUGGGUUCUGGGGGUAGUAUGGACACAAGUCUGAAACUUGAAGGAAUUGACGGAAGAGCACCAUAAGACGUGGAGCUUGCGGCUUAAUUUGACUCAACGCGGGAAAACUUACCAGGUCAAGACAUGGGCGUGAUUGACAGGCUAAUGACCUUUCUCGAUUCCUUGGAUGGUGGUGCAUGGUCGCACUUAGUUGGUGCAGUGAUUUGUCAGGUUUAUUCCGGUAACGAACGAGACCUCGGCCUUGUAAAUAGUUUUACUGCUUACAGGGACAAUGUCGGCUACGUCAAGGAAGUUCGGGGCAAUUGCAGAUCUGGAAUGCCCUUAGAUGUCCUGGGUCGCACGCGUGCUACAAUGACGCCACGAGCGAGUUCAUGUGUUGAAAGACAUGUGAAAUCAGC